GGGUAUUUACUUCCUUUAUCCAUUUGUUGAAGACAAACUGAUGAUUAUGCCCGUGUACAGUAUGCAGUAUGAGCAAAGAGAACAGUGUCUUCUUGAUCAAUGUUACUUGGAAGAGUCAUCAGGAUCCAAAAUGCCUGACCUUCUUCAUUGACACGGCUAUGGAUUUGAAGAGAGAUCACAAGCAGGCAGAGAAGCAGGCAGAGAGAGAGGGG